GUUGCCUCACCUUGGUAAGACUACCCGCUGAACUUUAAGCAUAUCAAUAGGCCGGGAGGGAA
rnacentral:rRNA from 1 species